rnacentral:rRNA from 2 species
GGCGAACGGGUGAGUAACACGUGGGCAAUCUGCCCUGCACUCUGGGACAAGCCCUGGAAACGGGGUCUAAUACCGGAUAUGAGCCUCCAUCGCAUGGUGGGGGCUGUAAAGCUCCGGCGGUGCAGGAUGAGCCCGCGGCCUAUCAGCUUGUUGGUGAGGUAACGGCUCACCAAGGCGACGACGGGUAGCCGGCCUGAGAGGGCGACCGGCCACACUGGGACUGAGACACGGCCCAGACUCCUACGGGAGGCAGCAGUGGGGAAUAUUGCACAAUGGGCGAAAGCCUGAUGCAGCGACGCCGCGUGAGGGAUGACGGCCUUCGGGUUGUAAACCUCUUUCAGCAGGGAAGAAGCGCAAGUGACGGUACCUGCAGAAGAAGCGCCGGCUAACUACGUGCCAGCAGCCGCGGUAAUACGUAGGGCGCAAGCGUUGUCCGGAAUUAUUGGGCGUAAAGAGCUCGUAGGCGGCUUGUCGCGUCGGUUGUGAAAGCCCGGGGCUUAACCCCGGGUCUGCAGUCGAUACGGGCAGGCUAGAGUUCGGUAGGGGAGAUCGGAAUUCCUGGUGUAGCGGUGAAAUGCGCAGAUAUCAGGAGGAACACCGGUGGC